GGAAGACCAGGGUGACCAGUGGCUCCAACCACCGUCCUGCUUGACUGAAGGCCACAAAGACAGGGCUGUUAUCAAUGGUCGCAGACUAAAAUGCAUCAAGACGUGAUUGGAUGGAGCAGCAACCAACCAGAGCGACAACAAACACUGUCCAAACCCACCUUGGCCUGGUUCUGUCAGGGAGGAUUAAAACGGUACGGAAAAGAUUCCUAAGAGCUGGAGAAAAUCACUGUAUCACUGCCCAGACCGGACAAGUAUGCUUUGAUGCAGGGAGGCCGCCUCCGAGAAAAAUGGAGGUUC